GUCAACGGAUGCCAGGGCGGGGGAUGGGGAGCCCAGCGGGGACUCUCCAUCAGGCCGCUCUUGGGGAGCCCAGGUUCCCACAGGACCGGAAAGGAGGGACAGGGCCAGGGAAAGGGUGAAGCCAACUUCAGGGGACAGAUGGGACCCCUUUGAUCCCCCCGAUUGCCUACUGCCACUGAGCCAAGCGUGUGUAUCUCGGGGAAAUGGCAGGUGAUGUUCACGGAGCAGCCUCCAGCCCAAGGCAGGAGCAGCACCGACAGUGGACAAGGACCACCCACUUGCAAAACGAAUGUGGCAUCACGGUUGACCAACGACCCCAAACUAUCCAGUCCUCUGGGAAGGUGAGAAACGUUUUCAAAGCAACUGGAUUAACACAACACUUCGACUGCCCUUGAAUGCUUUCAUUCAUUCAACAAGAGUUUCCUGGGAGCCCACUCUGUGCCGUACUUCUCAUGGGUUUAUAGAGACAUGUGGACUCUGGCCUUCAAAAGUUC
rnacentral:lncRNA from 1 species